AGCAGCCGCGGUAAUUCCAGCUCCAAUAGCGUAUAUUAAAGUUGUUGCAGUUAAAAAGCUCGUAGUUGAAUUUCGGGAUCAAUAUGUUGGUCGUGCCUCGGUACGUACUAGCUUAUUGGUUUCUCCUUUCUGAAGAACCAUGAUGUCAUUUAUUUGGUGUCGUGGGGAAUCAGGACUGUUACUUUGAAAAAAUUAGAGUGUUUAAAGCAGGCUCACGCUUGAAUACAUUAGCAUGGAAUAAUGAAAUAGGACGUUUGAUUCUAUUUUGUUGGUUUUAGGAUCGACGUAAUGAUUAAUAGGGAUAGUUGGGGGCAUUAGUAUUCAAUUGUCAGAGGUGAAAUUCUUGGAUUUAUUGAAGACUAACUACUGCGAAAGCAUUUGCCAAGGAUGUUUUCAUUAAUCAAGAACGAAAGUUAGGGGAUCGAAGACGAUCAGAUACCGUCGUAGUCCUAACCAUAA
rnacentral:rRNA from 1 species